rnacentral:rRNA from 1 species
UACAGAGGUCCCGAGCGUUGUUCGGAUUCACUGGGCGUAAAGGGUGCGUAGGUGGCCUGAAAAGUUUGAUGUGAAAGCUCAGGGCUUAACCCUGAAAUGGCAUUGAAUACUGUUGGGCUGGAGGUUUGGAGGGGGGACUGGAAUUCUUGGUGUAGCAGUGAAAUGCGUAGAUAUCAAGAGGAACACAGUGGCGAAGGCGAGUCCCUGGACAACACCGACACUGAGGCACGAAAGCUAGGGGAGCAAACAGG